UGGGGAAUAUUGCACAAUGGGGGAAACCCUGAUGCAGCGACGCCGCGUGAGUGAAGAAGUAUUUCGGUAUGUAAAGCUCUAUCAGCAGGGACGAUAAUGACGGUACCUGACUAAGAAGCCCCGGCUAACUACGUGCCAGCAGCCGCGGUAAUACGUAGGGGGCAAGCGUUAUCCGGAUUUACUGGGUGUAAAGGGAGCGUAGACGGUGAUGUAAGUCAGAUGUGAAAGCCCAGGGCUCAACCCUGGGACUGCAUUUGAAACUAUGUUGCUAGAGUGCAGGAGAGGUAAGUGGAAUUCCUAGUGUAGCGGUGAAAUGCGUAGAUAUUAGGAGGAACACCAGUGGCGAAGGCGACUUACUGGACUGUAACUGACGUUGAGGCUCGAAAGCGUGGGGAGCAAACAGG
rnacentral:rRNA from 1 species